rnacentral:lncRNA from 1 species
GAUCUGCUGUGUGGACUUGACCCUGACCAGGGAGCUCCAAAAACCGGUGAUGAUAACAUGAUGUAAUUGAGAGUGAAAGGAAGGCAACUGAGAGGAUAAGAGAACGUAAACAAGAGGUUACGGCACUAAAGAACCUUCAUGAAGCUAGGUCUCCAGAUUAAUCUACUGUCAGAUACUCGAGUCUUCAAGGUGAGAACAAGAGUUUGAGUGGAGAGGACCUGGUGAAAUGGGAGCAAAAGACUUUGACAGGCAGGGUGAAGCCAAGAGACCAGAAGAUGAUGGUCAUUGAAAAGAGAUUUUGUUACAGUUCAAGAGAAGCAAGCACAACAUGCCAUGCCUUCAUCUUCUGCUAUGAUUGAACAAGAGAUUAGGACGCAGACAACACAGACUUAAGAGGUGAUCAUGUGAGGAUACAGCAAUAAGAUGACCAUCUAUAAGCCAAAGAUAGGCCUCAGAAUGAAAUCAACCCUGUUGACACCUGAAUCUCCAGAACUGUGAGAAAUAAAUUUUCAUGGCCGUG